CGGUCAAUGAAGAGACCUCGUAGGUGACCUGCUCAAAGGGUUCCGGGACUCUGCACACCUCCUCCACCACCUCCAUUCCUCUUGGGCCAGAGCAUCAACAGUUCCUCUGCCAAGUUCUCUGAGGUGUGUCUGUUGCUGAACUCAAAGCAGUCCAGAAGACAGCUGGACAUCGAACAAUCUUCAGUGAAGUGACAUGUAACCGACAUGUAAGAAGUGGUUACCCUUGAUGUCCAGCAGUCAGUGGGAAGGCAAACUGCAGUAGCUUUUUGGACUCUUUCCCACACUGAAGCCUGUGUGCUCUCGUACAGUUGAGGAAUAAGUGAUUUUGAAAAGGUUUUCCUGCUUGGAAUUGUG
ensembl:lncRNA